GGCUCAGGAUGAACGCUAGCUACAGGCUUAACACAUGCAAGUCGAGGGGCAGCAUUGGGAUAGCUUGCUAUUCCAGAUGGCGACCGGCGCACGGGUGAGUAACGCGUAUCCAACCUUCCCUAUAGUAGAGAAUAGCCCGGCGAAAGUCGGAUUAAUGCUCUAUGUUGUGUUUUGAGGACAUCUGACGAACACCAAAGGUUCACCGCUAUAGGAUGGGGAUGCGUCUGAUUAGCUUGUUGGCGGGGUAACGGCCCACCAAGGCGACGAUCAGUAGGGGUUCUGAGAGGAAGGUCCCCCACAUUGGUACUGAGACACGGACCAAACUCCUACGGGAGGCAGCAGUGAGGAAUAUUGGUCAAUGGGCGAGAGCCUGAACCAGCCAAGUAGCGUGCAGGAUUGACUGCCCUAUGGGUUGUAAACUGCUUUUAUCAGGGAAUAAAGUGCGGCACGUGUGCCGUUUUGUAUGUACCUGAUGAAUAAGGACCGGCUAAUUCCGUGCCAGCAGCCGC
rnacentral:rRNA from 1 species